rnacentral:rRNA from 1 species
AACGAACGCUGGCGGCAUGCCUAACACAUGCAAGUCGAACGAGACCUUCGGGUCUAGUGGCGCACGGGUGCGUAACGCGUGGGAACCUGCCCUUAGGUUUGGAAUAACUCCCCGAAAGGGGUGCUAAUACCGGAUAAUGUCUUCGGAUCAAAGAUUUAUCGUCUUUGGAUGGGCCCGCGUUGGAUUAGCUAGUUGGUAGGGUAAAAGCCUACCAAGGCGACGAUCCAUAGCUGGUCUGAGAGGAUGAUCAGCCACACUGGGACUGAGACACGGCCCAGACUCCUACGGGAGGCAGCAGUGGGGAAUAUUGGACAAUGGGCGAAAGCCUGAUCCAGCAAUGCCGCGUGAGUGAUGAAGGCCUUAGGGUUGUAAAGCUCUUUUACCCGGGAUGAUAAUGACAGUACCGGGAGAAUAAGCUCCGGCUAACUCCGUG